UGAGGAUGUGACUCAAGAGGGUGCCCACCAGCAUUUCAGCUUGCAGACACCCCAUCAAGAGUUGAGAUAAAUGGCCCAGCGACAGGAAUUGUUUAAGUACGCGAAUGAAUGAGCAAUCACCCAUGAGCAAAGCUGACGACUUAGCAUCUGGAUGCUGCUAUUUCAUGAAGACCACGCUACAUCCUCUGCAGUUCUUAACUGCUUUGCACCUUUUGUUGCA
rnacentral:lncRNA from 1 species